CCACCCCCAUUGUGGGGGCUGUGAUGGAUCCCUUCUCCAUCCCCAUUGGUGAGGCCAUGAUGGAUCCCCUCUCCACCCCAUUGGUGGGGCCGUGAUGGAUCCCCUCUCCACCCCAUUGGGGGGGCUGUGAUGGAUCCCUUCUCCAUCCCCAUUGGUGAGGCCGUGAUGGAUCCCCUCUCCACCCCAUUGGUGAGGCCGUGAUGGAUCCCCUCUCCACCCCAUUGGUGAGGCCAUGAUGGAUCCCCUCUCCACCCCAUUGGGGGGGCUGUGAUGGAUCCCCUCUCCCACCCCGUUUGGGGGGGCUGUGAUGGACGGCCGUGCCAUGCCGAGCUCCGAGAAGCUUUGCUGCACUUUAUUGCUGAUCUCAUUGGCUGCACUGACCUGCAAACUCCUCGUGGCUCCAGGCUGGGCUGGACUUCCCUCAAGCACUUUUCCUCCAUCCAUCCAUCCAUGCAUCCAUCCAUCCGUCCAUCUGUCCGUCCGUCCAUCCCCAGCAGCAGCAGUGGGGCCGGGGGCUGCCCGACCCCCUCCCCACCCCCACCCCCCCCCAAGAACUCCGUGCUGUGUUCCUUUCCCAAGGAAGAGUCCAUUCGUUUCAAAGAGGUUUGCUUUGCUCUUUACCCUCCCGUCGCCGUUCUCUCCUCCCUUUUGGGUUCAUCUGCUGGUUUUUCAGUCCUCGCCAGGAGGGUUUUGGGGGUCUUUUUGGGGGGGGGGGUUGGGGGGUGGGGGGGGGUUUGCUGUUUGCUUUCUGAACCACACAUUGACUUUGGGCAGCGGCAGAGCGGGGCUGGAGGUGGGGAAGGGGGGGGGGGGCCUUUUGGGGUGUUGAUUUUUGUACUCGGAGGGGGGGGCACAGAGUGGGAGCAUCUCUCCCCACAUUCUCCCUCUGCCCCACAGCUCCCGUUCAGGGCAGGGGCUCAGCUGAGCACGCACAACCCCGAGCUGCCCCCAAAGCCGGGAGCCCACCCAGGACCCCGCUCUAUUAUGGGCACAGUCCCACCCCCCCACCCCGUCUCUGACUAUGGGGGGUCUGCCCCCCAAAUCCGAGCAGGGGGGAAGCAGGGCCAGAGCCCCCUCCCCCCCCCCCCGCCCUCCCGUGCUAUGCUGAUACGGGGCCGUCCUGCAGAGGGCUCUCAGCCCCACUGCUGCCCCAUGGGAGGAUUUGCCUUCGUCUUCUGCCCCUCUCACUGCCCGACCUCCCCCCAUCGAUCGGGCUGGGAAAGAAGGACGAGUGGGGAGGGGGGAGCUGAGGGUGGGGGGCACAGUGAUCCCCUCCCCCCCCCCCCCCCCCCGCUGUGGGUUCAGGACCCGAUCCCGUCCCACCGCCGUGGCCGCCUGCCCCGUCUCGCCCGUCAGGGACGUGUGACUUCACAGCAUAGCAAUGUAUCCUUACGCCAAUAAAGGGUUUCUGUGAUUCACUGCUCUGCCCUCGAGGCUCC
rnacentral:lncRNA from 1 species